rnacentral:ribozyme from 1 species
UGCCCAGCUACUCCUAUCCCUACCUCCUCGUGGUACCGGUUGAAAACUAUGAGCAACCUUAGGGAAAAUCGGGUAAUCAACCCCGGUGGGAACUUUGGUCGUAGGCUGACAGGGAAGG